GUGAUUGUAGCUCAGUUGGUUAGAGCACCGGGUUGUGGUCCCGGGGGCCGUGGGUUCGAGCCCCAUCAGUCACCCCA
rnacentral:tRNA from 1 species